AGGGUCCACUUCGGAGCCCAGUUCCCGAUACCGAAAGGCAGUAGAUGGCACCUAGCACCCCGAACGCCGAGCAGAAGACCGAGCGCAGCAUCUGGACGCAGAGUGGAAAAAGAGACUGUUUUGGUGGUGUCUGGAGAACGGAUUGUCGAGGGGAAGAGCGGAAGCGCGGAAGCGUGGAGACCAGCGGUUAGGAGGCCCUCGCAGUAGACCAGGCCUCCCUCUAAGCCAGUGGCCUCCAGAUGUUUUGACCAUCGUCUACCGAUCCAAUCCAGAAUACUGCGUUAUAUUUAGUUGUCCUGUCUCCUUAGUCUCUUCCAAUCUGUCACAGUGAUGAGGAUCAAGGCUGCCCCAGGGAGAAGCCCAAGGCUUCCUGGCCUACAUACCAUCUACAUCAUCCUCCGGGAAGCAUAGGAUGUCCUGACCUGAUUCGACCUGAUUUGUAUCCAAAGUUAUAGGACCACCCAAUAAGCAGACCCCACCUGCACUGAUGCCAUUUUAAUG